rnacentral:ncRNA from 1 species
ACACAACUCUGGAGAGUCCCGCGGAAAGGAGGCGGGCGCCGAAGGUGUAAAGGGAUCUCACCCGUGGAUCCCGAAUCUCUCAGGCAAAAGGACAGGGCUGG